rnacentral:tRNA from 1 species
GGCUUGGUAGCUCAGGUGGUAAGAGUUCCGUGUUGAAGACACGAAGGUCAUGAGUUCAAUCCUCAUCCAAGCCA